AAAGAUACGUUAAAAUUUCUUCUUAAAGAGAAAGAUAUCGAAGACCAGGGACCAAACUUAGUUACUGUGGAAGAACCACUAACAUCACCUGUCCCAUUAGCAGUAAAACACGUUGUUGACGAGGAAGACCCUCUCCAGCAAGAAGUAGAAAUCACAGAAAAAUAAUUUAAAACAUGAAAAUUGGGAAAAGAUGUAGAGAAACAGCCAAAGAAUUGCUUGAUCAACUAACGACUGCUGAUGCUUUGAACUUUGAGGUAUGUGAUCGAAUUAACGUACACAUGGACAUGGAGAAUUGUGAGAGGAUACACUACCGUAAUGGUAAGGAACAAGAAAAAAUUACAAAAUCAAUUUGCC